rnacentral:tRNA from 1 species
GCUCCUGUGGUGUAGUCCGGCCCAGCGGAAACCAGAGUUUCUGGCUCCGUUCCGGAGAAUCAUUCGGCCCUCUCGAGGCCGAGACCCGAGUUCGAAUAGUUGACGCCUGCGGCAACGGCCGAAAAGCGCAGCUUUGAAAGUCUCGGCAGGAGCA